UGCAGCCUGGCCCACUGUUUUGGGCCAGCCCAUGUUCAAAGGUUCGCUUGGCAACAAGCGGCGGCGGCGGCGGCACGUCCGGAGCAGCAGCGUCUUCGGCGAUCGUCAGUUUUGCCACGAGCUCGCCGGAGUCGACGAGAGCGUGAGCAUCCGCCGCCGCAGACGGUCCUAUCGUUGCUUUAGUCCGUCGAUCGAUCCCGUGCUCGCGCUAGCUCCCUGUGACCGAGGGAACUCGUGCUCUCCCGCCCGCCGCCAUGGCCGGAAUGCAGUGCACACCAGGUUCCAGUCUGCUGCUUGAACCUGGCCAUCUGGGAGAGCUUCUCAACAGCUUCAACCAAAUGAUCAAGCCUAGCAACGAAUUCAAUCAGUAGCGAUGCGGAAGUCGCAAGCGACAGCGCUGUGGUACUUUCAAGUGCACGCAUCCUCGGAAUCAUAUCAGAAACGUCAUUUUCAUCAUCUUCAAAAUCAUCCACCUCCCGAGAAGGCCAUGAAUGCAGCCUCCUCUGCUGCCUUUUCAUCAUCUCAUGGUAGGAUUCAGGUUGCAGUGGCCCAGCUACUUGUGUUGCUAUGUUUUCAGCCAUCUUACUUUCUGGGUCAUCAUUUUGUUUGCUGUUGAGGUUGAAAGUGACAGCCCAGGAGGUUUUCAACUGUGGCUUGGCAGAGUUGGCUUCAUGAUUUACAGUAAAGAGGUAGGACUGCAGGUCAAUUGAUUGUUGCAGACGCUCAGUUGAGACAUGCACAUGCUUGAGUAGGCUUGUUUGAAGGCUUGACUUCAUGUUGUUUACAUCCUUUGCCAAACUGUGCAGCAACUCUGCAGCUUGGUUUGUGGCAUCUAAGAUCUCAGAGCGGAAAGCACAUCUUAGGUUGUAUGGUGCCUGCAGAAUGCAAUGACUAUAUUUAUAUGCAAAUUAUGGUAAAGUGGUUCCUGAUUAUCUUAUUAAAUACUCCCUCCAUUCCAAAAUAAGUGUCGUGGUUUUAGUUCAACUUUGUACUAAGACCACGACACUUAUUUUGGAACGGAGGUAGUAUAUAAUUUUCUAGGAAGUAUACAAACAUGAAAAUUAAAUCAACCCAGUACAGUAGUACAUCGUGAGGAAAGGUGCACCUUUCAACUAAUUCUUUUCUGCAUUGUUUUAGAUAAGAUGAUCCAUGUUUGUUGUGAUCAUACUCUUGACCUGUGGUGUCAAUUACUUGGUUAACUUGCAAUCUUACAGCAUCUCUUGAAUGAAUCUGCACUUCUAAAUAGGCAUAAUUUGCAUAUACCUAUACCAUUCACAGAAUGAGUAUGCUAUAGUUCUCAUAAGUAAAGUUGACAGUCAGGUACUUUCAAUGCUACUCUUACCAGCCAAGGUAUAUUUGGCAUUUGAUUAAUAUGAUCAACUGAUUAUGUUGCUCCUCAGGUUUUUCUCUUGCAUAAGCAAGAAACCAGUAGAAAGUUCCUUCCUGGUAGUGAACUAUGAAGAAUCUUAAGCUAGUGUUUAAGCAGAGUGGCAAAUUUGAUCCAUAUGACCUAUGACAAUGGUGUGCCGAACAUUUACUACAGACGGUGUCCUUCAAAAGACAAAUUUUCUCACAACAUCCCUCAGAUUUUAACUACCCUCCUUUCUGGUCCCUUGGCGAAGUAUAAUUUUUCCUUCUUAUGUAGUAUAUUAUGUUGUAUUGUAUCAUGGAAUAAGAAUAUGGUGUUUUCCACUACCAGGACAAGGAACUAACUAGGACAAAGAACCAGUAGCCUGCACGUAAAGGACCCAAUGAAGGUGAUUUUCGAGAUGCUCUCACUCAAUAAUGUUCGCAGCUUCACGUUGUCUGAGAGUGAACAUGUUUGGAGCAGAUCCUUAAUAGAGGCAUGUCGUCUUUAUUUUGGAUGGAUACUACCACGAAAUAUCAUCAAUAGAAUGGUUUUAGACUCUCCACCACAUGCAUAUAUUCUAAAUGCAUACGUGAAGCAAUCUCCUGCUUAGAUCCACGAGACCAAAAUCUCGACUCUCAAGAAUGAACUUUUGGUGUGAUCAGAAAAAUCUUUAGUGGUUCAUGGACAACAGGGAAAACCCAGAAGUUGAAGGAUUUCUGCUAGUUUUGCUUACUAGUAUGGUUCUUGCUGUUUGAUAAAUACUGCAUACUCAUCAGCUUAUAUAGCAAAUUUCUUUGCGACCAAA